rnacentral:rRNA from 2 species
AGUGAAGCGGGAUGAGCUCAAAUUUAAAAUCUGGCUGGUUUACUAGUUCCGAAUUGUAGUUUAUAGAAGCGUUUUCGGUGGCAGCCUGGGUAUAAAUCCUUUGGAAUAGGGUAUCAUAGAGGGUGAGAAUCCCGUCUUUGACUCAGUGCAUGCUACUAUGUGAUACGUUUUCAAAGAGUCGAGUUGUUUGGGAAUGCAGCUCAAAAUGGGUGGUAAAUUUCAUCUAAAGCUAAAUAUUGGCGAGAGACCGAUAGCGAACAAGUACCGUGAGGGAAAGAUGAAAAGAACUUUGAAAAGAGAGUUAAACAGUGCGUGAAAUUGUUGAAAGGGAAACGUUUGACACCAGUUAUGCGGGUGGAAAAUCAGUCUUUUGCAAUGGGGAGUUGUGGGCGUUCAGACCGCAAGGCUGGCGUUUGCUUCAUCUUUGUUGUAAGUGAUGCACUUUUUCAUUUGCAGGUCAACAUCAGUUUGCUUUGCUGGACAAAACCCCAAGGGAAGGUGGCAGCUUAGGCUGUGUUAUAGCCCUGGGGCGAUACAGUGGAGUGGACUGAGGUUUCGCAGUGUGUGCUCUCGGGCAAGGCUGACUGGGUGCUAUGGGAUCGUUCGGCGUACAAUGCAUGCAUUUUGCGUCGUGUCUUUUUCAUACUCGCUCAACUCGGCUCUUCCACGCUUAGGAUGUUGACUUAAUGGUUUUAAACGACCCGUCUUGAAACACGGACCAAGGAGUCUAACAUAUAUGCAAGUGUUUGGGUGGCAAACCCAUGCGCGUAAUGAAAGUGAACGUAGGUGCGAUCCGCAAGGUGCAGCAUCGACCGAUCUUGAUAUUUUUGGAUAGAUUUGAGUAAGAGCAUAUAUGCUGGGACCCGAAAGAUGGUGAACUAUGCCUGAAUAGGGUGAAGCCAGAGGAAACUCUGGUGGAGGCUCGUAGCGAUUCUGACGUGCAAAUCGAUCGUCAAAUUUGGGUAUAGGGGCGAAAGACUAAUCGAA